rnacentral:snRNA from 1 species
GGAUGUGAUAGUGAUCUGCCUGCAACAUCUGUCACCCCAUUGAUCUCCAGGGUUGAUUUGGCUUUCUAGGUGAGAGUCUCCUUCCUUCCUCCCUGAUCCAUUCAUGUCCUUCCCUAAGUGGAGGGCCUUCCCCAUAGAGGCAUACAGUUCUUUGGGCAAGGGUGUGGGAAUAGCUGUACUCCCCUUCUAGAAAAGCUCCCAAGGUCCAUUUAUAAUAAUGUUUAUAUUAAUAAU